rnacentral:tRNA from 1 species
GCGGGAAUGCCAGAGUGGUCAAAUGGGGCAGACUCAAAAUCUGCUGGCUUAGUGCCUUCGAAGGUUCGAAUCCUUUUUCCCGCA